CCUACGGGUGGCAGCAGUCGAGAAUCAUUCACAAGGGGGGAAACCCUGAUGGUGCGACGCCGCGUGGGGGAAUGAAGGUCUUCGGAUUGUAAACCCCUGUCAUGUGGGAGCAAAUUAAAAAGAUAGUACCACAAGAGGAAGAGACGGCUAACUCUGUGCCAGCAGCCGCGGUAAUACAGAGGUCUCAAGCGUUGUUCGGAACCACUGGGCGGAAAGCGUGCGUAGGAUGUUUCGUAAGUCGUGUGUGAAAGGCGCGGGCUCAACCCGCGGACGGCACAUGAUACUGCGAGACUAGAGUAAUGGAGGGGGAACCGGAAUUCUCGGUGUAGCAGUGAAAUGCGUAGAUAUCGAGAGGAACACUCGUGGCGAAGGCGGGUUCCUGGACAUUAACUGACGCUGAGGCACGAAGGCCAGGGGAGCGAAAGGGAUUAGAUACCCGAGUAGUC
rnacentral:rRNA from 1 species